AAGACCUUGAGAAUGAUUUUUACAUUUUCCCACAACAUCCAUUUAUCGUCUCCUCACAACAAUUCCCCUAAUGCAGGGUAGUGUUUAUCGCAAUUAUAAAAACCUGAAACAAAAAGUAGCGUCCACCAUGUCUAAAGCGGAGGAAGUUAGAAUGGCUUUCAGUCUUAUGGAAGUCAAUUUCCUUGCCAAGGACUGAAACAGGCCAAGGACAGCACCCUCCUGUAAGAACUCUAAACAGACACUUUGUAAAACACACAAAUCACAUGUCCACAUACACUCUUUAUCAUAUGCCAAUCAUAAUAAUUUAGGUGUGUACUGGGUAAAAAGAUAAAGAAAAUAACAGGUAUGUCCUUGACUAUGUAUUUAAUUGGUAGACUAAAUGAUUCUGUUGUACUGUGGCAAAUGUUCCAAAUAUAAGCAAAGUCUAGGUAUGCGGCAACUGCAAAACGAAGCCAAAACUUAAGAAAAUAAAUAAAAAAUGUUUUAAUAGGUCAAACUAAGAAGGGAAAGUGCUAAUUGAGACGGUUUCUGAGUUUGAGCCUAAAACUUCUCAACAGACACUCAAUAGACAGAUAUAGGGCAAGUGCUACAGGCUGGUGCCAUCACAAGGCCUAAUAAAAAGCUUUAAGUUACACCAAAAUAUUGUAAGAAUUCUAGGUGCAAUAGUUAAUGCACAGACUUUUCCCUAGAAGUCCCUAGAAACGCCAUUCUGUGAAGACCGACCCCUACUCUGCCUCUGAAUGGCCUUGACCCUGAUGUUCUGAUAAACUAAACUGAGUGUGUGUGUGUGUGUGUGUGUGUGUGUGUGUGUGUGUGUGUGUGUGUGUGUGAGAGAGAAACCAUGCCCUGUAAUCCUACGCGAGCGUCAUCGCUGCCUUCAAACAUACAGGUAAUUCAAUGAUCAACGUGUAUGGGAACUGACAAAAAAUGGUAACGCUUAAAAUGUGACCAAAAGGUCAGGUGAAAACUUGAAAUGAAAGUUAGGCACGUCACAAGCCGCACUCAUUACAAUUAUACUGCCCUCCACUUGAGUAUCUCCACCCAACCUCGGCAACACCUUUGCGAAGGUGUGCAAAUGCCCUGUUGUUGUUACGCUAAGUAUGUCCGGUUUACUUGCAUACAGAGUUAAACUAUUAUUUAUGUUUUAUUCUUUCUUCUUUAAAUGCCUACAUUUUGUAUUACCAUUCAUUUCUGGAAACUCCUGGUUGGGAACCAUAACUAUAACAUAGUUAUAAAGGAGGAAGACAUUUUUACUGAUAUUUUUUUUUAUAUACUUUAAAAUCUUAUUUUAGCAAAUUCACACAGGCACAUUAUAAAUCAGACUAAAUAUUUUCAGAAUGAAGCUAAUGUUAUAAGAGGUAGCCUUAUUUAAGAUGAAAAACAUAAUGGUGUAACAUUAGCCUUUGUUUAAUUUAGCUGGCUAGCUAGUUAACAUUUGCUUCAUCCCUUCAUCGACUACUAUCAGCUACCAUAGUCAACGGCAUCGUUGGCGCCAUUCAUUUGCCUUUCACUGUUUCUUACAGAAGGCAUUCGCAACUCAUUAUAAUUCCCUUUACGUACUUUAUUUUUGAAGCAGUCCGAUAUGACAAAUGAAUAUCCAAAAUAUCGGCCAAAUCCUAAAACAUUAGAUUAUCGUUUGUCCGGCUAUCAGCCAUCCUUAGCCAUUAGAUUUCGGUAUCGCCCCUAAAUAAUGUAUAUUGGUCGAUCCCUAAUCUCAAGUACAUGACAAUUUGUGCUCUGCAAGAUUUCUACUUUUAAAACAAUGCACCAAUCAGGCUAAUCCGUCCCACUAAAACGUGUCUCAGUUUCAUUGACUGCACAGGAAAACCAGUGGCUUUUACUGGAGGUGGCUUUUCAGUUCAUUUUGAGAGCAGUCAUUUAGUCAAGGCCUACUACUGGAAGGCUUAAAGGGGAUCAAUGCCCUAAUGAGUUCAGGAGUGAGGUUUGGGUGAGCCUCUGAAACAGUAUAUAAGUUUCUGUGAGCUGGACAUUACUGUUGAGAAGGGAGUUCCUAUGCCCAUUCAUGCCAUGCCUUGGCACACACUAAUAGUUGCCAACCAUAGAGCAUUCUGCUUGCCACAUAAUGAUGAUGAUGACGCCGAUAAUGUAGCAUUAGCUUCAGACCAGCAGAAUGGACAAAGCAUAGACACAGCCAACUCCCACAUGACUCCUGUCUCAUUGGCCACACAGUACACACCAGCCAGAGGCUACUCUCUGGGUUCAGAUUCCACAGUCCAUGACAUGUGCUUUAUUUUGGAAACAGAAUAGAAACGGUGACUUUCAACUCUUCAUAAGCAUCCUAAUAAGAAAGCUCAACAGUACACACCAAAAAGCAACACUGUGUAAAUAACACUGCUCAGAUCAACACUGUGUGAAUAACAGCUUGAUCAAAGAUCAUGGAAACCAUCGAAAACCUCUAAUUGUCACAUUGCUACAUUUAGUUUAAUCUGAUAAUGUGUCAAGUGGGCUUCAAACGGUUUCAUCUUUCAAAUUAAGAUUUAAAGAAAAGGAAAAAACAAAAUAACAAUUACAGACUUUACAGAAAAGGCCUGCAAGCUCCAUAAUGUCUACAAGAGACUGGUGUAAAUUCUGUACAUAUGCUAACAUGCUAAUGCUAGACAAGAAAAGUGAGAGCCUGGGACCACCACAACUUUUCCGUUACUCCACAAUUAGGUGUUCACCCCACAAUAAUAGUGUCAUCAUUGUCAUGUUGUCACACCCAUGGAAGAAAAAAAAGUUUUGCCAGGGUGAUUCAGUAUUCAACAGCUACGAAAAUGACCAACACUGCGCUGUAUGUGGGCCAAUCCACAGGAGGGGAAAGUAAAGCUCCUAUUGUUAGCCUGACCAAAAUGACAGUGAGCUGUGGCACUGAUGUUACUGCUUUAAUAAACAACAGGAAAGAACAAAAGGAGUGAUUGUGAAGCUCCAUUAUAGAAUUGACAUACCAUCCCUCCUAACUGAUACUUUCCCAACCCCCACCCCCACUACUGCUGCAGCUGUGCAAAGUGAUGCUCUUGGGAAUAAGUGUGUGUGUCAGUGUGUGUGUGCGUGUGUCAGUAUGUGUGUGUGUGUGUGCCAGUGUGUGUGUGUCA
ensembl:lncRNA